GCUCCGUAGGUGAACCUGCGGAGGGAUCAUUACAGAGUUCAUGCCCUAACGGGUAGAUCUCCCACCCUAUGUUAUCAUCACUUUGUUGCUUUGGCGGGCCGUCAGGCCUCGGCUUGGCUACCGGCUCUCGCUGGUAAGCGCCCGCCAGAGAACCCCAAACCCUGAAUAUCAGUGUCGUCUGAGUACUAUAUAAUAGUUAAAACUUUCAACAACGGAACUCUUGGUUCUG
rnacentral:misc_RNA from 1 species